CAUUUAUCUUGUUUAAGCUUAUUUGAUCUCCCUCUAUUAGAUAUAUUUAUUUAUUUUGGAGAAAGGAGAUCACAUUUCUUAAAAAUCGUAUACUGUAUUAUCUGUUGCUCAAAUGUCCUCUUCCUUCGCACCUUUUUGGUCAAUUUCAUAUAUUAGUUCCUUUUGAUUUUCUUAAUUUUGGUUGUUCUACAAAUCGUAGUUUGCAGUGUUAUUGAUUUUCCAUGUGUAUGCAAAAUUUCCCUCCCUUUAAUACUGUUGACCUAGUUGCGAUAAAACCAGAGAAUUCUAAUCUGUGAAUUUUGCAAUCAGUUUUCUAUCAUCUUGAAAUUCUUUCUCUGCUACCGUGAUUGGAGUCAUUGAUGGAGGUGAAAGGUUGAGACAUCACUCUGGUUGCCAUGACCAUGCUAGUGAAUUUCAUGUUUGUUUUUAAAAUUCUUCAUUUCUUCUUGUAUGAAAAUGUGAAAAUAUAUGUACAUUACAUGAACAUAUGUGGUUUAACUUCCAUUUUACAACCAUUGAAAUGACCUGUUAAAUAGAUUUUUAUUGAUUGUACCAAUUUCGAAAAUCGCAUAGUGUUUGUGAAAUAUAGCAGCUUAAUCACCAUCAUACCUUUGUUUGUGUGGGUAGCCUACCAGAUUUUUGUUCAUGAUCUAUUAGGAUUGAAAAUUUAUAUAGUUUGGGUCUGUCUUUAUCUCUCUUUCACUGACGUCACUAAUACACACAUUAUAAUGAUGGUUAUACUUAAAGAUGAUAAUAUUUUUUCUAUUAUGGUAAUGCAGCAUAAUUUUUCUUUAAUAAAGUGUUGGAAAUUUAAAUUUACAGCAUUUUGCAAUUUUUCAUGUAAUAUUGGUUUGGAUUGAUGGACUUUUCUACAUUAUUUUAUGACCGGCAGGCUUUGUGAUCUUUCAUGAAGAAGAGGAUUGGUGUAUUAGGUUAUGGCUGCUUAGUAAUUAUGGUUAUCACCUUGCGUUUUUUUAAACUGAUUGUUUUAGUUUGAGAGGGAGUCCUUGUUAAAGCAUCUUCAGGCUAGAUUUGGCUCUUUGAAGCCUUUUUUUUUAUCCUUUCAUUCUUGUCAUCAAUAAUCUAGGUAUUAGGCAGUCAGAGACCUUAUCAAGGGGCCAGUCACAUUUGUGUUUUGGACUUAUUUAUUAGUGCAUGAAUAAUGUGGCUCUUUUGUGAAAUUGCAGUGCAUGUAUGAUUAUAAUAGAGUUAAUGGUAGGUUCAAGUCAAUGAAAGGAGUUUUUUUUACUUUAUUUUUUUAAAUCAGUUCUUUGUGCUUAUAUAUUAAUUUGAGGGACUUGAAACAUUUGUUAAAUUUCUCUUUGUUUAAUUUUGUUUUUCUUAAUUUUUGUCUUUUUGUAUUUAACUUUCUGCAAUAGAUUUUAGUUAUCCUUUUUGCUAUAUAAAUGUUUGUUUCAUUCAUAAUUAAUUUAUGUGUGGAUAGUAAAUAACUCAAAUGAGGAUCAUUUUGGGUUUUUCCCAUGGGUCAAGUUUAAAGUUAUGAAUACCCUAACUUGGACCCAAACUGGACUUGGAGAAUUAUCCAUCCUUGGGAGCUGUGGACUUAUGUACUGUGGACUUGUAAUUUGUUGAUGAAGGAUGUAGACUUUAACUUGUAGGCUUAGAUGAGCAUUUUUAAAAUUUGUUGUUGCAUGUUGAGAUUGAGUUCCUUUUUGUUAAGGAAUUGUAAUAUAUAUCGUUGUUCUUGUUUUUAACAGGGGAACAGUCCUGUUUUAGGGUAGACGUUGCCAAAAUUUUGACAGAAUUUUAAAGGCUUCUAGAUAACAUGUUAAGAGCUACAAGAGCCUAAUCCUCCAUUUUGAAAUGGAGGUAUGCAGACAGCCUUUGGGUGUGGUCCAAAUUAGGAAAAUUUUAUUUUCAUUGUUUUCAAUUUUUUUUUCUGCUUCUCUAAAUGUUUGGAUUUGAAAUAAGAUUUGUGAAUUUAGCAUAUUCUCUCUCUCUCUCUCUCUCUUUUUAUAUACGUAUUUAAAAUAGAGGUAAGGUAUUGCAAUAUAAAUUUAAUAGUUUUUCUGUGUUAGUUAUGUAACUUAGCAGAGGAAGAUCAAGUGUGACAUUCAAUGUCUUAUUUUUAUCCCUUGGUUUACUGUUCUCACUGCACUUGUUUGAUAAAGCCAUUUUCUGUUAUAUUUGCAAGUUUGAUUUACUCGCUUUUCUGCAGAUGCUAAUUAUGUUUUUCUCUUGUUUUACUGUUCUCGAUGUGCAUAAAUGUUUCAGAUCAAGGUGUAUUCUAGAUAUAGAGAAAGGGUGACAGAAUGGAGUAUGUUAUUACAAUUGGUGAAAUUGCAAAAACCUUGUUGUCUUCUAUUGCUCGACUGAUUGGCCACCUAAUUUCCUAUAAUACAAACAUAAAAAAUCUGGAAAAGGAGCUUCAGAAACUGGUUGAUAAGAAGGCAACUGAGGUGGACCCACGUGUGGAUGAGGCCGAAAGGAACUUGGAAAUUAUUGCUGAGUCUGUAAUUCGGUGGCAAAAGGAGGUGGAUGACAUCAAUCAAAAGGGCAAAGAAUUUCUUGAAAAUGAUAUUGAAGUGAUCAACAAGCGUUUGAAUGGGCUGUGUCCAGAUCCAAAGUCGCUUUAUUCGUUGAGUAGGAAAGCUAAGGAGAUGACAAAAGAGGUUCUUGGUCUGCUCCAAGAAGCUGCAAAAUUCGAUGAAAUAAGCCAUCCUGGUCCUCCACCAAAGAUAGGAUCAACCUUCAUAACUGAAGGUAUUAGGGAUUUUGAAUCAAGGGAAUCAAUAAAGAAUGAAGUCUGGGAGGCCUUGAAGGAUGACAAGCUUAGCAUGAUCAGUAUAUGUGGAAUUGGUGGUGUGGGUAAAACCACAAUGGUAAAACAGCUUGCGCAAGAAGUUGAAAGACAGAAAUUGUUUGAUGAGGUUGCGAUGGCAGUAGUGUCCCAAACUCCUAAUAUCAAAAAGAUACAAGGUGACAUUGCAUCUUGCCUGAGUUUGAAAUUGGACGAUGAGAGUGAGUUAACAAGAGCAGGCAAGCUUCGUCAGAGGCUUAUAAACUGUGGUAAGACGAUCCUCUUAAUAUUGGAUGAUGUUUGGAGCGAGUUGGAUUUUGAAAAAAUAGGACUUCCUUCAAUGGGAGAGAGGAAGGGACACACAAUUAUGUUGACUUCACGUAACAAAGAUGUAUGUAAUAAAAUGGGAAGUGAAAAGAAUUUCCCUGUGGAUGUUUUAACAAAUGAAGAAGCUUGGGAUCUUUUUGGAGAGAUGGCAGGCAUUUCCAUUGACCAUCAUUUGCAUCAUACAGCAACUGAGAUUGCAAAUGAAUGUGGAGGCUUACCUAUUGCCAUUGUAAACAUUGCAAAGGCAUUAAAAAACAAAAGGAGAAACAUUUGGGAUGAUGCGCUUGGACAGCUAAAGAAUUCUAACCUACAAGACAUAUCAGGAGAUGUGUUUUCCAAAAUUGAAUUAAGUUACAAGUUCUUGGAACAUGAAGAGGCCAAGUUGUGUUUUUUGCUUUGUAGCCUGUUCCCUGAAGAUUUCAAUAUUCGGGUUGAAGAUUUGGUUAGAUAUGGAAUGGGCCUGCGGUUGUUUAAGAAUGUUGAUAAUGUGCAUCAAGCAAGAGAUAGGGUCUACGCGCUUAUUGACGUACUUAAAGGAUCAUUUUUAUUGCUUGAAGGUGAUAACAAAUGGUAUGACUCUGUCAAAAUGCAUGAUCUUGUCCGUGAUGUAGCCAUUUCAAUUGGCUCUAGUGAUAAGCACUGGUACACGAUACAAAGUGAUGCUAGAAUGAAGGAGUGGCGAGAGAAAGCUGGGUACAAAAAUUGCACUGCAAUUUCACUUGUGUGUGAAAAAAUCAAUGGGCACCCUAAUGAUUUGGAGUGUCCGAAGCUUGAACUCUUACAGCUUUCAUAUGAUUGUCAAUCACAAAGCCUUCCAAACAAUGUUUUUGAAGGGAUGAAAGAACUCAAAGUUCUAGCUUUGGCUUUGGGUAUCCCAUCAAUGCCACAAUCACUUGAUGUCCUCAAGAAUCUUCGAACCUUACGUCUUGUGAAGUUUAAGUCAGGACAGUUACAUACCAUUGGGGCUCUAGUGAAACUAGAAAUACUCGAAAUUGAUACUGGUUAUUUAUGGGAGUUGCCUGAAGAAAUUGGACUACUAAAAAAUCUAAGGUUGCUGGACUUGAGGAGGGUCAUUAACCUUCGAUACAUUCCGCCAGGUGUAUUAUUAGGGCUGUCCAAACUAGAAGAGUUGUAUGUGACAGACAAGUUCAUGAUGAAGUGGGAAUCCAAGGAUGUAGACAAAAUCAAUGCAAGCCUCAGUGAGCUAGAGACCCAUCAUAUAACUGCAUUGGAAAUUACUGUGCCAAAAGCCUCCAUUUUGCCUAAAGAUUCAGUCUUUAGAAACUUAAUAAGAUUUAAAAUUUUUAUAGGUCACAAGUAUGCAUAUGGAUCAUUAGUUGACAGAGACGCAGUGAAUGUGUUGCAUCUUGAAGGAGAAGCUAAUGAUAUUAAAGAAAAUGGGAUCUUUGCUUUGUUGAUGUGGAAAACUGAAGUCUUGAAUUUGGUAGAAGUGCAAAAUUUGAAGAAAGUUCUCUACGAGCUAGAAGAUUAUGGUUUUCCAGAUUUGAAGAGAUCAUCAGUUGAUGAAUGUGUUGAACAAGAAUUCUUAGUUGAUGCAUUAGAGAGGGUUCCACGAUCACAAGAAAUACGGCUUUCAUACUUCAGGAACUUGAGAGAAGUAAAAAUUCGUUCAUGUGGUAAGUUGAAGUACUUCAUUCCACUAUCCAUGGCUAGAGGAUUGAGACAACUUCAUAGCAUAUUUAUAGCGGGGUGCGAAGAGAUGGAGGGAAUUUUCAACAAAAACGAAGUGGAUGAUGAGAUUGAGUUUCCUGAACUUAAGGAUUUGAGGCUGGAUCACCUUCCAAAAUUCCAUGGUUUCAUCAUCAACAAAUCAUUGACCUGCAAGGAUAUGGAACAGCCAAGUGCAUCUCAAAUGAACAAUGGGACAGAAACUGAGCUUCCCCAAUAUCAAGCAAGGAUUGGACUAGUGGAAAUGUUUUCUACAUUGUUUUCAUCACUUUGUCCACGACUGCCAAAUUUGCAGGAGCUAAACUUGGAUAGUUGCAGUUUUCUAAAAGUGGUUUUUCCUCCCGCUAUAGCCCAACAACUGGUGCAACUUAAAAAGCUGAUUAUCCAUGGAUGUUCUGAGAUGGAAUUUAUUGUUGCAGAAGAACAAGAAGAAGAAAAAAACAAGAGAAUAAGCAAAAUAGUGUUUCCUAAACUAAUUUUGCUUGAUCUUUGGAAGCUACCAAAGCUAGUGGCUGUUUGUCCUGAUAGUCAUAUUUCUUUUGACUGGCUCUCAUUAGAACAAUUGAAUUUACUUAGUUGUCCCGAAAUGAAGACACUUUGUGCUGCAAUUCCAGGCUCAACAUCACUGAAUAAAAGUUUUGAUCAAAUUGACCUUAUUGGUGGCAAGAAAAUCAUGUGUCCAAGAAGCUCAAUUACUCAAGGGUUGGUAAGAAGAGGUAGGGAGCGAAAAAAUGUCUCCAGCAAAAAGGAUAUCAAACAGCCGAGUACAUUCCAAAUGAACAAUGGACAAUUUCAAUCAAGUAUUGAACCAGCGGAAAUAAUUUCCAUAUUACUUCCAUCAAAUUGGCUACUAUUACCAAAUUUGCAAAACCUUCAUUUGGGUGCAUGUAAUUCGCUAAAAGUGAUUUUUCCUCCCUCUGUGGCCCAACAAUUGGUGCAGCUUCAAUAUUUAAAUAUCCGUGGAUGUUCUGGGAUGGAAUACAUUGUUGCAGAAAGACAAGAACAAGAAAAAAACAAGGGAACAAACGAAGUAGUGUUUCCUAACCUGUCUUUACUUGAACUUGUUACACUACCAAAACUGGUGGCUUUUUGCCUUGACAGUCAUGUUUCUUUUGAUUUUCCCCUGUUAAAACGAUUGAACUUGUAUGGUUGUCCCAAUAUGAAGACAUUUUGUUUUGCUACUUCAAGCUCAUGGGCAUUUAGUAGAAGUGUUGAUCAUACUAAUAAUGGAUUUGAUGGCAAGCAUGCACAUAACUCAAUAGUUCGAGGUUUGCUAAAAGGAGGAAGAGAGCAAAAAUAUGUUUCCAGCAAAGAGGUCUCACUAGUCAAGAACGAGGAGGAUCCAUCUGUUAGCCACAUUGAUGAGAAGACAGAGACAUGUUAUGCAUUUCCAUCCAAAUUGAUUGAAGGGUUUCAAAAUUUGGAAAACCUUAAAAUGGAGAAAUCUGAUACAUUGGAAGUGAUAUUUUCAUUUGACGGGUUGAUUCUUCAGGAGUACCAUGCUACUAUUGGAAUCCUCAAUUCUUUAAAGGAGUUGCAUUUAAGUAGUUUAUCUAAGUUAAUGCAUAUAUGGUUCAAGAUUCCGCCAGAAAUAUCAGCCUUCCAAAACCUGCAACUGUUGAGGGUAAAUUCUUGUGAAAAUUUAACGUAUCUUUUCUCUCCUCACUCUGCCAAACUUCUAGUAAAGCUCCAACAAAUAGAGGUUACUAGCUGCAAGAGGAUGAUGGAAAUUAUUGCGAAAGAGGAUGAAGAAGAACAAGAAGCAAGCAUGAACAAGAUCGUGUUCCCUCAGCUAAAAUCUCUGAUAUUUGCGAAUUUACCCAACCUCAAGAGUUUUUACAGUGGGACUUAUGCUCUUGAAUUACCAAAGCUAGAGAAACUAAAAAUAAGUGAUGAGAACUAUCCAUUAAUGGGAGACCUUAAUGCAACUGAAAAAGAAGUGAUGUUGACAAGAUUACUGAUCCAUUGCAAGAAAAUUUUGAGAAGGAUAGAGAAUGGUCAACAAUCAGAAGGCGAUUUAAGCAAUGUACGUGUUCUGGAAGUUGAAAACUGUGAAAAUUUGGUGAAUCUCAUUCCGUUCAAUUUGAUAGAGUGCCUUCAAAAGUUGGAAAAGCUUAUUGUGCGUAGGUGUGGUUCAUUGAUGGAGAUGUUUGAGUGCCAAGGAACGAAUACUGAUGUAGGAUAUUUUGUAACAUUCUCUCAUCUUGAAGAAGUCCAACUGUCAGAUCUACCAAAACUGAUGAACAUAUUCACCAAAAUUCCAGAAAAUGUCAUUGGCUUUCGGAAGCUGAGAAAGCUACAAGUUCAUAUAUGUGCCAGUUUGAGAAACAUAUUCUCAGUUUUUGUGGCUAAGGGUCUUGUACAACUCCAGGAACUAGAUAUAGAGAGUUGCUAUAUGUUGGAGGAAAUAAUAGUUGCAAAAGAGGAUGAACAAGAAGAAGAAGAAGCAAGCAAGGAAAAAAUUGUGUUCCCUCAAUUAAGGUCUUUGCAACUUCGAAGUUUACCCAAUCUCAAGUGUUUCUACAGUGGGAUUUAUGCUCUUGAAUUUCCAUUAUUAGAAAAAUUGAAAUUUUGUGCUUGUAAUGGGAUGAAGACUUUCUCUUAUGGAUCCUUAAGCAUGCCAAAGCUAAAGGAACUUAAAAUAAAUUAUGCUUACCAUCAAUUAAUGGGAUCUCCAGACCUUAAUGCAACAAUGAGUCAAUUGUUCAACAUGAAGAAAAGAGGAACUUGAUGUUACUAUGGAUGAUAGUGAGGAUGAACUUGACCUUAUUUUGGGAAGGUGGAAUUUUAAAAGGUGAUCAACUAUAUCUUAAGGAGGAUGAAUCAGAUGUUAUUGAGAAAGCAGGAGCUGAAGAACUACUUCAAGUCCUUCAGGAUUCCCAGCUUCGGGCGGAAGAGAAAAGUGGUUUUUGCAUAUGUAAUGUUGGGUUAUCAUCUUUAGAUAUAUAUUUUAACUAGACACCCUUUCUUUUAGGUAAACUUAUUUUAGAGACUAACUUUAUCAUAUUUAUAUAGAUUAUUUGCUCAAUGAUUUAA